GACGGGCAGCUGUCUGUUCCUGGAAAAAGAUAUAAAGUGAAAAGACAAGGAAGAAAACGAUGCUCUGGGGUUUCCUUUCUCUUCAGGUGCUUGCCGUGCCGUAACACAAAUCCUAGAUUACUUCAACAUCAAGUCUAUUCACUCUCUGUCUCCUACAACCUAAUACCACUCAAUCAAUUACUGUUCCACUGCCAUCGUCACUUCUCUUCACUUUCCAAUUUUAACUCCUUCAUGUAUUGUGACGCUGGAUGAAUGAGCUUUCUACCUUGUGGUAUUAAUAUUACUUGGCGAAGUACCAUUUAGAUUAACAAGUGCCAGCUUUCUGAAACGAGGACAUUAAAAGGCAUUCGAGUCUGGUAGUUCAUAUGUCAUUUAAUAACCAUGAGUACAAGUGAAAGGACUAGCGAGUACAUCUUUAGAAAUGGUGAUGUCUAUUUAGGUAAUUUUAAAGGUGUGCUGCCACAUGGCAGUGGUAAAUAUACUUGGUUUGAUGGAACAGUUUAUGAGGGGGAUUGGGAAGAAGGAAAAAUGACUGGGAAAGGAAAGAUUUCGUGGAAUUCGGGAGCAGCUUAUGUGGGUGAGUUUUCAGGUGGUUACCUUCAUGGUUUUGGUACCCUCACUAAUCCAAACGGAUCUGUAUAUAGAGGUUCGUGGAGGUUGAACAUUCAGUAUGGAUUUGGAAAGAAACAAUAUCAGAAUUUAGAUUACUAUGAAGGUUUAUGGAAAGAGGGAGUGCAUGAAGGCAGUGGUAGUUAUGUUUGGUCUAACGGUAACAUGUACAUUGGAUCAUGGAAAUCUGGGAAAAUUUGUGGUAGAGGUGUUAUUAAAUGGUCGGAUGGUGAUCUUUUUGAUGGUUUCUGGCUGAAUGGUUUAAGGCAUGGGUCAGGAUAUUACAGGUUUGCUGAUGGAAGUUAUUAUUUUGGGACAUGGACCAAAGGCCUUAAGGAUGGACGCGGAACAUACUAUCCUACUGGGAGCAAGAGUCCAGAUAUAAAGAAUUGGUGUAGCUUUAACAUACAUAAGGUUGAUAGGGAGGGGGUUUUGUCUCGUAGUUUGUCAGUGGGUCUAGAGGAGAGCAAAGUUAUUAAACCUAGUUUUAAGCGUAGUUUAUCCGAGAGGAUCUCCUUCACUAAAUAUGUCAGAGGUUCUGGUCGUAUAUCCAGUAAGAGUAUAUCUUUGGAUGAAGACUGGAGUCUUAACAAUACUACUAUAGAUUUUGCAACUUGUGAUAUGUCCUGCAUGCUAUCUCACUCAUCUGGUGAAGGUCGUAAAUGUACGCAGGACAAUGAUGUUGUAGCUUAUGAAAGAGAAUAUAUGCAAGGAAUUCUGAUCAAAGAAAGGAUAAUGAAUAAAGCAGGACCCUCUGGAAAAAGUAGAAAGCGGUGUAAAGGAAAGGAAGCAACAAAGAAGUCAUGUCUGAAUAUAUCUAAAGGCAAUCGAAGCUACUUCUUGAUGCUCAACUUGCAACUUGGCAUCCGGUAUACAGUGGGAAAGAUUACACCAGUCCCUCUGCGUGAAGUCCGAGUAUCUGAUUUUGGAGAAAGUGCUAGGAUAAAAAUGUACUUCCCUAGAAAGGGUUCUCAAUUUACUCCGCCACAUAAAUCUUCUGACUUCUAUUGGAUGGAUUACUGUCCUAUGGUAUUCAGGAAUUUGAGGGAUAUGUUCAAGCUAGAUGCUGCUGAGUACAUGAUAUCUAUUUGUGGCGAUAAUGGUCUGAGAGAACACUCUUCUUCUGGAAAAAGUGGCAGCAUCUUCUAUGUUUCUCAUGAUGAUAAAUUUGUCAUCAAAACAUUAAAGAGAUCUGAACUAGAGGUUUUGCUAAAGAUGCUUCCGAAUUACUAUGAUUAUGUAAAAGAGCAUGACAACACCCUUAUAACUAAGUUUUUUGGAGUACACAGGAUAAAAUGGAAAUGUGGGAAGAAGGUACGCUUUGUUGUCAUGGGGAACAUGUUGCGAACUGAGUUGCGAAUUCAUCAUCGUUAUGAUUUGAAGGGUUCAUGUCAAGGAAGAGUCACAAAUAAAGAUCACAUAGCUGCAAAUACCACAUUAAAGGACCGGGAUCUACAAUAUGAGUUCUACAUGGACAGAUUGUUGCGUGAGUCACUUUUCAAACAAAUCUAUCUUGAUUGCAUGUUCCUAGAGUCUCAACAGAUAAUUGAUUACAGUCUUCUGCUGGGACUACAUUUUCGAGCUCCUAAGCAUUUGAAACCCCUCCAAGAAUCACAAGACUUGUUACAAGGGCCUGAGAAUACUUCUGCUGGUAGCGGAAAAGCCUCACCAGGUGAUCUAUAUGUUCCUCCUAAAGGUCUUCUGCUGGUGACACAUGAACCCAACAUAGUCAAUACAACACCAGGUUCUCACAUAAGAGGAAAUACUCUGAGGGCAUUUUCUUUGGGUGAUAGAGAAGUAGAUCUUCUUCUGCCUGAUACUGGAAGGUUACGGGUGCAACUAGGCGUAAACAUGCCAGCUCGGGCAAGUUGCAAGCUCCUGCGAGAUAACAUUGAUUCAGCUGAAGUCGAACUAUUUGAAGUUUAUGACGUUAUCCUCUUUCUUGGUAUUAUUGAUAUAUUGCAGGAAUAUAACAUAAAGAAAAAAGCUGAGCAUGCAUACAAGUCAAUUCAGUUCGACUCAACAUCAAUUUCCGUUGUUGAGCCCAAAUUUUAUUCAAGACGAUUAAUAAACUUUUUGGAGAGCGUCAUUCUUGUUGAAAAUGAAGAGGUGGUUAUUGUUGAAAAUGAAGAGGUUUAAAUUACUAGAGGUACAGUUACUUUUGUUUCUUUCUUUGGAGUCUUUUAGCAACUGUAUAGUAAAAAGAGCAGUUGGAUGCUGUUUUGGUGCAAAUUGCUCUAUUUGUGCCUAAGAGAAGAACAUGGAUGUGCAGUGCAGAAAUGCAUAGAUUUGGUACUCCCUCAGUCCUUCCUCGGUCCUUUUUAGUUGUCACAUUACCAAAGAUUAUAAGUUACUAUCUUUCAUUAUUUUAAAAAACUGACAAUUAAGUAGAUUAAAAUUUAUUUCCGAUAA